AUAAACUGAGAUGUAUUCCGAGGGGGAGAAGUUAUUGCGAUUAUGAACAAUUAAACCAUAAGCGUAUAGCUUUUCCCCUUUGGCGUAUGUCACCUCAACG
rnacentral:miRNA from 13 species